rnacentral:misc_RNA from 1 species
GAUGAAGAACGUAGCGAAAUGCGAUAAGUAAUGUGAAUUGCAGAAUUCAGUGAAUCAUCGAAUCUUUGAACGCACAUUGCGCCCGUCAGUAUUCUGGCGGGCAUGCCUGUUCGAGCGUCAUUACGCCCCUCAAGUCCCCUGUGGACUUGGUGUUGGGGAUCGGCGAGGCUGGUUUUCCAGCACAGCCGUCCCUUAAAUUAAUUGGCGGUCUCGCCGUGGCCCUCCUCUGCGCAGUAGUAAAACACUCGCAACAGGAGCCCGGCGCGGUCCACUGCCGUAAAACCCCCCAACUUUUUAUAGUUGACCUCGAAUCAGGUAGGACUACCCGCUGAACUUAAGCAUAUCAUAAGCGGAGAA